GACGUAGGGCGCGAGCGUUGUCCGGAUUUAUUGGGCGUAAAGAGCUCGUAGGCGGCUUGGCGCGUCGAAUGUGAAAACCCACGGCUUAACUGUGGGCUUGCGGUCGAUACGGGCAGGCUAGAGUUCGGUAGGGGAGACUGGAAUUCCUGGUGUAGCGGUGAAAUGCGCAGAUAUCAGGAGGAACACCGGUGGCGAAGGCGGAUCUCUGGGCCUUACCUGACGCUCAGGUGCGAAAGCUAGGGGAGCGAACAGG
rnacentral:rRNA from 1 species